UUCUUCUUCUUGUUGUCCUCCUUAUCUUUGUCUUUCUUGUUGGUGCUGCUGGCGGCAGCGGCCUUCUUUCUAUCCUGCUGCUGUGGAUCGGUGGUGGCAGCGGCAGCUGCCUUCUUUCUCAGGUGAUGCUGAUCCUGCUGCUGUGGAUCGGCGGCCUUCUUUCUCAGGUGAUGCUGAUCCUGCUGCUGCGGAUCGGCGGUGGCCUUCUUCUUCGGCUGCUGCUGAUCUUGCUGUGAGUCGGCGGCCGCGGCGUCGAGACCGAGCGCCUGCCUCCUCCUCUUGCGGUAGC
rnacentral:lncRNA from 1 species